rnacentral:tRNA from 1 species
AAGAAAAUGGCAGAGCGGCUAUGCAGUUGGUUUGAAACUUACUUAUGGAGGUUCGACCCCUUCUUUUCUCG